GAUGAAGAACGCAGCGAAACGCGAUAAGUAGUGUGAAUUUCAGAAUUCAGUGAAUCAUCGAAUCUUUGAACGCUCAUUGCGCCCGCCAGUAUUCUGGCGGGCAUGCCUGUUCGAGCGUCAUUUCAACCAUCAAGCCCCAGGCUUGUGUUGGGGACCUGCGGCUGCCGCAGGCCCUGAAAACCAGUGGCGGGCUCGCUGUCACACCGGGCGUAGUAGAUUUUAUCUCGCUCUGGGCGUGCUGCGGGUUCCGGCCGUUAAAAAACCCUUUUAACCCAAGGUUGACCUCGGAUCAGGUAGGAAUACCCGCUGAACUUAAGCAUAUCAAUAAGCGGAGGA
rnacentral:misc_RNA from 1 species